GAGUUUGAUCCUGGCUCAGAUUGAACGCUGGCGGCAGGCUUAACACAUGCAAGUCGAACGGUAACAUGAGUGCUUGCACUUGAUGACGAGUGGCGGACGGGUGAGUAAGGUAUGGGGAUCUGCCGAAUGGAGGGGGACAACAGUUGGAAACGACUGCUAAUACCGCAUAAAGUUGAGAGACCAAAGCAUGGGACCUUCGGGCCAUGCGCCAUUUGAUGAACCCAUAUGGGAUUAGCUAGUUGGUAGGGUAAAGGCUUACCAAGGCGACGAUCUCUAGCUGGUCUGAGAGGAUGACCAGCCACACUGGAACUGAGACACGGUCCAGACUCCUACGGGAGGCAGCAGUGGGGAAUAUUGCACAAUGGGGGAAACCCUGAUGCAGCCAUGCCGCGUGUAUGAAGAAGGCCUUCGGGUUGUAAAGUACUUUCGGUAAUGAGGAAGGUGGUGUAUCUAAUAGGUGCAUUAAUUGACGUUAAUUACAGAAGAAGCACCGGCUAACUCCGUGCCAGCAGCCGCGGUAAUACGGAGGGUGCGAGCGUUAAUCGGAAUGACUGGGCGUAAAGGGCAUGUAGGCGGAUAAUUAAGUUAGGUGUGAAAGCCCUGGGCUCAACCUAGGAAUUGCACUUAAAACUGGUUAACUAGAGUAUUGUAGAGGAAGGUAGAAUUCCACGUGUAGCGGUGAAAUGCGUAGAGAUGUGGAGGAAUACCGGUGGCGAAGGCGGCCUUCUGGACAGAUACUGACGCUGAGAUGCGAAAGCGUGGGGAGCAAACAGGAUUAGAUACCCUGGUAGUCCACGCUGUAGACGAUGUCGAUUUGGAGUUUGUUGCCUAGAGUGAUGGGCUCCGAAGCUAACGCGAUAAAUCGACCGCCUGGGGAGUACGGCCGCAAGGUUAAAACUCAAAUGAAUUGACGGGGGCCCGCACAAGCGGUGGAGCAUGUGGUUUAAUUCGAUGCAACGCGAAGAACCUUACCUGGUCUUGACAUCCACAGAAUCUUGCAGAGAUGCGAGAGUGCCUUCGGGAACUGUGAGACAGGUGCUGCAUGGCUGUCGUCAGCUCGUGUUGUGAAAUGUUGGGUUAAGUCCCGCAACGAGCGCAACCCUUAUCCUUUGUUGCCAGCGAUUCGGUCGGGAACUCAAAGGAGACUGCCGUUGAUAAAGCGGAGGAAGGUGGGGACGACGUCAAGUCAUCAUGGCCCUUACGACCAGGGCUACACACGUGCUACAAUGGCGUAUACAAAGGGAGGCGA
rnacentral:rRNA from 1 species